rnacentral:rRNA from 1 species
UAGCGAAGGGGGCUAGCGUUGUUUCGGAUUAGUCUGGGCGUAAAGCGGCACGUAGGCGGAUUGUUAAGUCGGGGUGAAUCCUGGAGCUCAACUCCAGAAUUGCCUUCGAUAUCUGGCUUUUCUAGAGGCUGGAAGAGGUUAGUGGAAUUCCCAGUGUAGAGGUGAAAAUUCGUAGAUAUUGGGAAGAACACCAGUGGCGAAGGCGGACUACUGGUCCAGAUCGUGACG